GGCGUAAAGAGCUCGUAGGUGGUUUGUCGCGUUGUUCGUGAAAUCUCACGGCUUAACUGUGAGCGUGCGGGCGAUACGGGCAGACUUGAGUACUGCAGGGGAGACUGGAAUUCCUGGUGUAGCGGUGGAAUGCGCGGAUAUCAGGAGGAACACCGGUGGCGAAGGCGGGUCUCUGGGCAGUAACUGACGCUGAGGAGCGAAAGCGUGGGGAGCGAACAGGAUUAGAUACCCUGGUAGUCCACGCCGUAAACGGUGGGUACUAGGUGUGGGUUUCCUUCCUUGGGAUCCGUGCCGUAGCUAACGCAUUAAGUACCCCGCCUGGGGAGUACGGCCGCAAGGCUAAAACUCAAAGAAAUUGACGGGGGCCCGCACAAGCGGCGGAGCAUGUGGAUUAAUUCGAUGCAACGCGAAGAACCUUACCUGGGUUUGACAUGCACAGGACGCCGGCAGAGAUGUCGGUUCCCUUGUGGCCUGUGUGCAGGUGGUGCAUGGCUGUCGUCAGCUCGUGUCGUGAGAUGUUGGGUUAAGUCCCGCAACGAGCGCAACCCUUGUCUCAUGUUGCCAGCGGGUAAUGCCGGGGACUCGUGAGAGACUGCCGGGGUCAACUCGGAGGAAGGUGGGGAUGACGUCAAGUCAUCAUGCCCCUUAUGUCCAGGGCUUCACACAUGCUACAAUGGCCGGUACAAAGGGCUGCGAUGCCGCGAGGUUAAGCGAAUCCUUUUAAAGCCGGUCUCAGUUCGGAUCGGGGUCUGCAACUCGACCCCGUGAAGUCGGAGUCGCUAGU
rnacentral:rRNA from 1 species